CGGAGGAUCCAAGGCGUUAUCCGGAAUCAUUGGGUUUAAAGGGUCCGUAGGCGGGUUUAUAAGUCAGUGGUGAAAGCCCAUCGCUCAACGAUGGAACGGCCAUUGAUACUGUAGAUCUUGAAUUAUUAGGAAGUAACUAGAAUAUGUAGUGUAGCGGUGAAAUGCUUAGAGAUUACAUGGAAUACCAAUUGCGAAGGCAGGUUACUACUAAUGGAUUGUCGCUGAUGGACGAAAGCGUGGGUAGCGAACAGGAUUAGAUACCCUGGUAGUCCACGCCGUAAACGAUGGAUACUAGCUGUUCGGAGCAAUCUGAGUGGCUAAGCGAAAGUGAUAAGUAUCCCACCUGGGGAGUACGUUCGCAAGAAUG
rnacentral:rRNA from 1 species